CGUGAGACGGAUUCAAAGCAUAGAAGGCAAUGAAUUAUAAGAAUGAAAGGUUUAAAUUCGUAAGUAAUUACGUACCAAACAAUAAGUAUUCUUUAGAAAGUGGAUAUUACUUAAGUUAUGUUUUGAACUUCUAUCUAUAUAAAUAUUUAUGUGAAUACGUUGUAUGCAAGAUGGUUGAGAUGUAUAAAUGAGUCAUACGGGUCAAAUGGGGAUUGCCAUUGAACCCGAUAUUUAAUGUUUUAAAUUGUCAAGUCUUAUAAUUGUAGGCGAACAUAAUGCAUGAUCAUCCAAUGCCACAGAUUGGAAAGAAAUAACCAUCGUAAGUUAUGGAUAACGAGUCAAAGGCUUCGAUUCGCGCAAGGUAUGUACAAAUUUAUGCUUUCUUUUGAGUAGGGGCUUAUAGCUCGACUAGAGAGGGAUGUGCCAGAAAUGGGUAGUUGGUAGACAUAUGGUCAGAAUGUAGUUUACAAUUGGAUUUCCGAACAAGUUAAACAAAGUAAGUGAUAGUUGCUAAGCAGGUAUUAGUAAAGUUAGCAUGAAGUAUUUGAUUUACUAUGUAGGUAAAGCCAAUGUAAGCUAUUGUAGUAGCAAGAAACCUUAGCUGAAAGAAAUAAGCUGUGAGCAAGUUACAUGAAAGGUAUAUUACUAAAUGACUCUUGUGGGUCAAAAUGAAUUACGGGCUACGACCCGAACAAUAACUUAAGUAUGGACGGGAAGGGUAAGUUUUGCAAGAAGAACGGAAAGGAUGUAUUAAAGUACUUGUAUGUAAGCAUGAAUGGAAAGGAAUACAAUCGUGUAUUUCAUUACAUCCAUGAUAAUUAAGAAACGUUAGUUAGACCUUGGAAAGCCAACUGUAAUGGGUCGGUGAAAUAAUUAACAAAAUGAAGGAAUUGUGGGUGUUUAUAACACUAAACAGAAUAAAUUGGAAAGAAUGUAAUAAUGAUAAGUACCAACGGAAAAUGCUAACCUUGAUGCUAGGUUUGUUGGCCAUGUUCAUUUAAACAAGAUAUUGUUAGAAGGAAGCCCAUGAGCGGAAGCCAUUCAUGAAAGGAAGGGAAUCGAACCAGCCUUGACACGGACUCAUUCAGAAGCGGGCCAAUCCGGUUUGCAGAUCGUUAAGUUAUACAAUGAAGGUGAGGUUAGUAAAAUGUUAAAUUCUAGAUUGAAAGGUAAGAAUCUGUGAAUUAUUUGUACAUAUGAAUGAAAUGAAUGGUAGGACAAAUAUAGUAUAGUAUGAAAUAACCGACUAGCAAUGGUCAUCUUUAGAAAGUAUUUAUGUCAAUAAGAGGAAGAUUUAAGGACCCUGAAUGAAAACUUGGAACUAGUUGAUUAAUGCUCAUAUGUUGCUCUUUGCACGACAUGCCGGUUUAGUAUAAGGAAGUAAUGUGAAAGAUUAAAUAUAAGGUUAGACAUAAGGUUGUAAGUAGUUCAAGUGGCGGUAGAAAAGUAGAUUAAUGAUUGAUCCUCAUAACAAGUACGGAUAACGAGAUUUAAAAAUGAUAGUUAUGUUAGAAUGUUGAUGCUUGGAUGUUUACGGUAAUGCGUACUAUCAUACGCUCACUUCACAUAGGGACAUGAAGGAACCUAGAAAGGAUGUUAGUUUCAAAUUAUGGAAUAUGGGAUGUGUCACAAACGUCAAUUCCUCACAACAUACUUAUGUAAGUCGUCCAAUUUAACAUGAAUGAAUAAACGAACGAAGAGUAAGACUAGACGGGUUAUAGAAGGAAUGAAAGAGGUUUCAGGGACGAAACCUUCUUUAAGGGGGGUAGACUUGUAACACCCCAAAAACGGGUUUAUUAAUUAUAAUAAAGUAACUGAAAAUAAACGGGUAAAAUACGGUAGUGAUAAAAAUAAACCCAGUAAAUAUUAGGAUCUAAAUAAGUAAGCCUAAUAUUAACUAAAAAGUGAAUCAAAGCUUUGGAGGAAAUAAAGCUUAUAAAAGACCCGAGGUAACGGGGUGUAUGUAACACCCUAAAACAUAAAUCCUUUUAUUAUAAAUCCGACGUUGAUAUUAACGAGAUAAACUAACUAGUGAUAAAACUAACCUAGUUAGAUAAGAGUUUAGUGAUAAUAAAUUAGAGUGUUAGAAACACCCAAAUAAAAACCUCAUGAAAGUAGGAGGGUUAAAAGUGCCAAGUAUGAAACAAGUUUUAUUAAACACAAAUAAAAUAAAAAUCCAACACACACACUGGUGUGUGGAUCGACCAGAACGCAGAAGGGGGUUUUCCAAAACCCUAACUCACCCAAAAAUUCACAAAUUGAAGGUCAAGAUCAAUUCCAAAACGAAAUCUAAGCCUAGAUUGGUGAUCUCCAUUACAAGGGGGUCAUAAGCGUAGGAGCCAUGUCAAUAUGGACACGAGCAUGGAAGGGCAAUGGGUCAAAGCUAAAAACGGAAGCUAUGCAUGAACUCGGACGCACGAGGAAUGAGAACGUCAGACUCUUGUAGAAUUGAAGCCGAACCUGGAAGCCGAACUCGAAACAAAGGAAUCCGAGAGGAUAGUCGAAUGAAUCAAAGUUUAUGUUGUUGAAUGUUAUAUGAUUUUUAAUUGUACCAGAUUAUUGUUGUAUGAUGUUGUCAAUGACUAAUGGUUAAGUUGUAUGUGAUGUCCACAGGUACUACACGGAUUUCUUCUACCACUAUCGAAGAUAAGCGGGCAUAGAUCGAGUCGAAUAACAAGGAUUGUACGGAAAGAACGGUUACGUAGUCUUAAUUUUGUAACGCAUUAAUUUGUAAAAAGGGAAGUGAAUUUUGUAAGCUUCUUCUUGAAUGUGUGUAUUGUUUUAAGAUCGUAAAGAAAUUUUU